rnacentral:rRNA from 1 species
GGCCUUGAGCCGUGGCUUUCGGAGCUAACGCGUUAAGUAGACCGCCUGGGGAGUACGGUCGCAAGAUUAAAACUCAAAUGAAUUGACGGGGGCCCGCACAAGCGGUGGAGCAUGUGGUUUAAUUCGAUGCAACGCGAAGAACCUUACCUACUCUUGACAUCUACAGGAUCCUGCGGAGACGCGGGAGUGCCUUCGGGAACUGUAAGACAGGUGCUGCAUGGCUGUCGUCAGCUCGUGUUGUGAAAUGUUGGGUUAAGUCCCGCAACGAGCGCAACCCUUAUCCUUGAUUGCCAGCACGUAAUGGUGGGAACUUCAGGGAGACUGCCGGUGAUAAACCGGAGGAAGGUGGGGACGACGUCAAGUCAUCAUGGCCCUUACGAGUAGGGCUACACACGUGCUACAAUGGCGCAUACAGAGGGCAGCCAACCAGCGAUGGUGAGCGAAUCCCAAAAAGUGCGUCGUAGUCCGGAUUGGAGUCUGCAACUCGACUCCAUGAAGUCGGAAUCGCUAGUAAUCGUAGAUCAGAAUGCUACGGUGAAUACGUUCCCGGGCCUUGUACACACCGCCCGUCACACCAUGGGAGUGGGCUGCAAAAGAAGUAGGUAGUUUAACCCUUCGGGGGGGACGCUUACCACUUUGUGGUUCAUGACUGGGGUGAAGUCGUAACAAGGUAGCCG